rnacentral:lncRNA from 1 species
AACUGACUAAAUAAACCAAAAGGUAUGCAAACUGGUCAUUGCCUGCGUUGAUUUAAAGUGUCUGCAGGCCGCAAGUAAGACAAAAACUAGCAAUGGAAUUCUUGAAAUAAGAUAACUAUACUUGAAGUUGAAAGGUUUUUCUUCAUUAUAUUAUACUAAUUUCGAGCGGUGGAAACAACCUUGUAGAAAUGCAGGAUAAAGUUACG